CUGGUAUUGAUUGGUGCUUGCAUCAUGAUUUACAUUUGAGUGAGUGGCGAACUGGUGAGUAACACGUGGGAAACCUGCCCAGAAGCGGGGGAUAACACCUGGAAACAGAUGCUAAUACCGCAUAACAACUUGGACCGCAUGGUCCGAGCUUGAAAGAUGGCUUCGGCUAUCACUUUUGGAUGGUCCCGCGGCGUAUUAGCUAGAUGGUGGGGUAACGGCUCACCAUGGCAAUGAUACGUAGCCGACCUGAGAGGGUAAUCGGCCACAUUGGGACUGAGACACGGCCCAAACUCCUACGGGAGGCAGCAGUAGGGAAUCUUCCACAAUGGACGAAAGUCUGAUGGAGCAACGCCGCGUGAGUGAAGAAGGGUUUCGGCUCGUAAAACUCUGUUGUUAAAGAAGAACAUAUCUGAGAGUAACUGUUCAGGUAUUGACGGUAUUUAACCAGAAAGCCACGGCUAACUACGUGCCAGCAGCCGCGGUAAUACGUAGGUGGCAAGCGUUGUCCGGAUUUAUUGGGCGUAAAGCGAGCGCAGGCGGUUUUUUAAGUCUGAUGUGAAAGCCUUCGGCUCAACCGAAGAAGUGCAUCGGAAACUGGGAAACUUGAGUGCAGAAGAGGACAGUGGAACUCCAUGUGUAGCGGUGAAAUGCGUAGAUAUAUGGAAGAACACCAGUGGCGAAGGCGGCUGUCUGGUCUGUAACUGACGCUGAGGCUCGAAAGUAUGGGUAGCAAACAGGAUUAGAUACCCUGGUAGUCCAUACCGUAAACGAUGAAUGCUAAGUGUUGGAGGGUUUCCGCCCUUCAGUGCUGCAGCUAACGCAUUAAGCAUUCCGCCUGGGGAGUACGGCCGCAAGGCUGAAACUCAAAGGAAUUGACGGGGGCCCGCACAAGCGGUGGAGCAUGUGGUUUAAUUCGAAGCUACGCGAAGAACCUUACCAGGUCUUGACAUACUAUGCAAAUCUAAGAGAUUAGACGUUCCCUUCGGGGACAUGGAUACAGGUGGUGCAUGGUUGUCGUCAGCUCGUGUCGUGAGAUGUU
rnacentral:rRNA from 1 species